GUUUGUUCCGGGACUCUGACUGUGAAAUUGUGUUGUUUUUAAUGUACCACAUCACAGGCAGAGUUCUAGCUACGCGC
rnacentral:pre_miRNA from 1 species